CUACGACGGGUACGGGUUGUGAGAGCAAGAGCCCGGAGAUGGAUUCUGAGACACGAAUCCAGGCCCUACGGGGUGCAGCAGGCGCGAAAACUUUACAAUGCUGGCAACAGCGAUAAGGGAACCUCGAGUGCCAGGUUACAAAUCUGGCUGUCGAGAUGCCUAAAAAGCAUUUCAUAGCAAGGGCCGGGCAAGACCGGUGCCAGCCGCCGCGGUAACACCGGCGGCUCGAGUGGUAACCGUUAUUAUUGGGUCUAAAGGGUCUGUAGCCGGCCGGAUAAGUCUCUUGAGAAAUCUGGCAGCUUAACUGUCAGGCUUUCAGGAGAUACUGUCUGGCUCGAGGCCGGGAGAGGUGAGAGGUACUUCAGGGGUAGGGGUGAAAUCUUGUAAUCCUUGAAGGACCACCAGUGGCGAAGGCGUCUCACCAGAACGGACCUGACGGCAAGGGACGAAAGCUAGGGGCACGAACCGGAUUAGAUACCCGGGUAGUCCUAGCCGUAAACGAUACUCGCUAGGUGUCGGCCACGGUGCGACCGUUGUCGGUGCCGUAGGGAAGCCGUGAAGCGAGCCAC
rnacentral:rRNA from 1 species